AAAAAAUUUUUUUUUUUUUUUAAUUGGGAAUUUUUUUUCAAUUGGGAAAAAAACAACCAGAUUUGCAUUGGGAAUGGGGCCGAAUUUCGGACCCGUGGCAUAGGGCGGAAAAAGCCUGGCAGAUGGGCCAAAAUGGGGGCAGCUAGAGAGACUCGCCUGGAACUGACAAGCCUGGAGGGAGCUGGUUGACUGUUGGCGAGAUGGGACAACAGACGAAGAAUAAACGAACCUACUUGAUUUUUAUGUUUUUCAGUUUCGUCGGAAGACGUUUCCCACCAACCAUCCUGUCUUGAAAGAAAUAACUUUUGAACCCGAUUAUCUGAUAUUUUCCAGUUUCCCCUCACAACAAUUUGCAUCAAACCUCUUGUCUGAUUUCCGGGACAGCGGGACAAGUUCUUCAUUUCCAGGACUGUCCUGGACAAUCCUGGACGUAUGCUCCUCAGCUGAAAUCAUCAUCUAGCAGUCACAAUAGUUGAGCGGUUGGAGAGGCAUGCAUUGCGUCCUACUACUGCUCAGACUAUAUCAUGUUUGGCAGACAAAACAUGCUGAUCAAAAAGAAUGUGUACCACAGGGGCCAGUGUUUCCAUUUGAGUGAUUGACAAGAAGAAGAAGAGAUGAGAAAUGUUAUCAUCAUAUUUUAGUCCCUACAUUUAUAGUGUACAGCUCAAUGUAUUGAACCGGUGUUGUAGAAUAUAAUUGGAGAUACAUGCGAACAUUAUAACAUUAUAUAUAAGAUGAUAUUUCAAAAGCAAUAAGAAAUAAAAAGUAUAAAAAGGUCAAAACAGUAAACCUUGUGUUUACAGUGGACAGGUUUAAAGUGGAAGUGACUAGUUAACUGUUGAUCAUAAGCUGCACUGAUGGAAAAAAUAGUGGGAAAUUACUAUCUAGAAAACUGUUUAACGUACGACAACAGUUGUGGAACUUCAUAAAUGACCGUAUGUAACAGGGCUGGGCAGUUUUCCUUAUAUAGCUAUAGUGAAACCUUUUGAACACUAGUGAAGUCACUGUUUUUUUCCCAAUCUUCAUGCAUUUUGGUCGAAUAUUUGUUCAAAUGAUGGCUCAGUCCAGUUUCGAAAUUUUUAUGUCUAUUCAAAAAACAUAUCCACUAGAGCGCGAGGCAAUUGUCUUAAUAUGGCUAUAAUGAAACCUUGUAAAUUCUCUAGAAGUGACAUUUUUAGCCAUAUCUCCAUAAAUUUUGGUCAGAAUAUUUAUUCUAAUGAUAUCUCAGUUGUCGAGUUUGUAACUGGUUCCGGUUUGUAGACUAACAAGGCUGCCAGUGGACAUGACAGUUUUUCUUAAAGUGCUAGAGUAGAACCUUGUUAACACACAAUUGGCCCUUGCCUUUUUCAUGAAAGAUGUCAGAGCAUUUGGCCCAAUGUAAUCUCAGCUGACUUUGAAACUGGAUCACAUAACGUCAAAAAGUGGGUCAAAAUGUCAAAUUAAAAAAAGCUUGUAAACACUGGAAGUUGCAUUUAAAAUUGUGUUCCUUUUUUAUGUCCCCCACUAAAGUAGUGGGGGACAUAUUGUUUUUGCCCUGUCUGUUGGUUGGUCUGUUGGUCUGUUGGUUGGUUGGUUGGUUUGCGCCAACAUUUGCAAUAACUUUUGCAAUAUUGAAGAUAGGAACUUGAUAUUUUGCAUGCAUAUGUAUCUCAUGGAGCUGCACAUUUUGAGUGGUGAAAGGUCAAGGUCAUCCUUCAAGGUCAAAGGUUGAGUAUAUGGGUCAAAAUCGCUCAUUUAAUGUACACUUUUGCAGUAUUUCAAUAUUCAAGAUAGCAACUUGAUAUUUGGCAUGCAUGUGUAUCUCAUGGAGCUGCACAAUUUGAGUGGUGAAAGGUCAAGGUCAUCCUUCAAGGUCAGAUGUCAAAUAUAUGUGUCCAAAAUCGCUCAUUUUAUUAUACUUUUGCAAUAUUGAAGAUAGCAACUUGAUAUUUGGCAUGCAUGUGUAUCUCAUGGAUCUGCACAUUUUGAGUGGUGAAAGGUCAAGGUCAUCCUUCAAGGUCAGAGGUCAAAUAUAUGUGGCCCAAAUCACUAAUUUUAUGAAUACUUUUGCAAUAUUGAAGAUAGCAACUUGAUAUUUGGCAUGCAUGUGUAUCUCAUGGAGCUGCACAUUUUUAGUGGUGAAAGGUCAAGGUCAUCCUUCAAGGUCAAAUAUAUGGGUCAAAAUUGAUCAUGUAAUGUCACUUCUGCAAUAUUGAAGCUAGCAAUUUUAUAUUUGAAAUGCAUGUGUAUCUCAUGGAGCUGCACAUUUUGAGUGGUGAAGGGUCAAGGUCAUCCUACAAGGUCAAACGUCAUAUAGGGGGACAUUGUGUUUCACAAACACAUCUUGUUUAAAGUUUUUCAAAACAUUUGCUGUAAUGAAAAGCAAAGUCAAGUUUAUAAAUGAUUAUUUGCCUACAAAUUACAUAUUUUUCAUCAAGUUCGUUUAUUAUUCUAAACUACACCCUCUCAGAAUAGUUUAGUUCCUUCUGGUCACAGUUGAGCACCUUAGGGCUCUUGUUCUAUAAUUUGAUUGUUUUGGAAAAUUGUCAUUUUACCAAAAUGUGAGCAAGUCCAAAUUUAAUUAACCCUGCUUUGUAGUAUCUUGUUUUCCUUAUAUGUAUAAAGUGGAAAAUUAUCUAUGAAUCUGACUGCAUAGAUAUUUGGUAUUCAGCAUAGCAUCGUGUAAAUGUAGUAAAACUAAACACAAUUGUGUUAGCAUAAAACUGGCCAUGCCAUGGGGGUCAAAUGGUUAAUACAGACUUGUAGGAAAAAGACUUCUAAAAAUUUUAUCCGUUAAAUAUAUUUUGUGUACAUAAUGAUUAGCUUUUUCCUUCAACUUAUC